AGCGAACGCUGGCGGCAGGCUUAACACAUGCAAGUCGAGCGGGCAUAGCAAUAUGUCAGCGGCAGACGGGUGAGUAACGCGUGGGAACGUACCUUUUGGUUCGGAACAACACAGGGAAACUUGCGCUAAUACCGGAUAAGCCCUUACGGGGAAAGAUUUAUCGCCGAAAGAUCGGCCCGCGUCUGAUUAGCUAGUUGGUGAGGUAAUGGCUCACCAAGGCGACGAUCAGUAGCUGGUCUGAGAGGAUGAUCAGCCACAUUGGGACUGAGACACGGCCCAAACUACUACGGGAGGCAGCAGUGGGGAAUAUUGGACAAUGGGCGCAAGCCUGAUCAGGCCAUGCCGCGUGAGUGAUGAAGGCCCUAGGGUUGUAAAGCUCUUUUGUGCGGGAAGAUAAUGACGGUACCGCAAGAAUAAGCCCCGGCUAACUUCGUGCCAGCAGCCGCCGUAA
rnacentral:rRNA from 1 species